AAGAUGUCAGAAGAAGGAGGAAGACAGAAAAACAGCCGCAAGCGACAUCUCAACUGUCACCGCGUGAGCGACACGUUGAGGGUCUGCCAGGACCGUAAACCCGGAUGAGGUCAGCUUCCGGUGGCUUUCACUGAACCCCGCCGGCUACUGUCACUAAACACUUAGCAUGCACACCACCAGCCUCCUGCUCCACUGUUGAUUAGCCGGCGUGCUUAUCUGAUGACGAAUCGUGGCGAUGAAAGCCGAGUCGACGGCGCUGCGGCAGGUGGCGACACCGUCGUGGCGGACCACGUGGUGACGUAACGGCCGUGGUGCUGACGUUAGUGGGGAACGCUGCCAUAAACACCGCACUGCCAGAUUUUAACAGCCGAUGGCGGCUGAAACUGAAGUGGUAAACAUUCUUGUUUACAACACACAGCUUUGAGAGUCGACGAUGUGGGAAGAUAAUCUAACAGCGGCUAGUGAAGUGCGGCAGCUUGUGAGGAUACCCCGUGGACAGCGGUGGCGACAAAAAGUUGCCUCACAUGACCCUUGCACCGCAUGGCGCCGUUUCCAUGGAUACAGUUCUGAGUAGUUUCCUACCGGAGGACGGAGGAUCAGCCGGCAUUAUUUACCAGGGUGCCACGGCUGGGGGUGGGCAGAAGCAGAUGUGUGCUACCCGUCGCGACUGCAGCGCCCUCUGGAGACGACGGCCAAACCAGAUGAGUCUUUUCUUCAGCGGAAGUGGCGAAGGAGGCAGUAAGACUACCCGCCCUUGUGAAGUGGCACAGGAGGAGGAUUUAACAGUGCAUGUGUCCUGUUGGAGGUUAUUCGCACUGUUACAUCAGUCCGACAUACCAGUGUCAAAGAUCUGCGAUUAAAUCCUUGGGUGCUGCGGGGCUUCGCUUCUUUUUGUAGCAGCAGUGAGGUAAAAAUGUGAGCUUCAGAUAGGAGUUACACAUGGGGUACCCGAGGAGCCGAAUAGUUAUGGUGUCCGAUGAAGGGGAAGCCGAGGACCGGGUGUCUUAAUUCACACCACUACCACACAAGUCGUUGCUGCUACUGAACAGAAGGCUUCCUGCAUGGGUGUGCAUGUAACCCUGAGCCUUCUGAUGGGGGACUACUGAACUACCCAUGUAGACACCUCUCACAAGCAUCUCUAAAUCUUUCUCUCGUGGUGGUGAGGGGCAGGGGUCUGUGUUGCAUGAUUAAAUCCAGGCUUGUACAUUUUAACGAGGGGAACGACUUUGUCUCUACAUCUCGUGAUCGCACUGCUGACAAGCAACCCUCGAGCUUUAGCCAGUCGGCUGGCAGGUGAACAUCAAAGGCAGGCAACACUUCACGCCUAGUUGCACUGUGCGUGUCUGUGGACAGUUAACAUCUUCUCCCGCCACACCAGGAGAAGGCAGAAAAUGUAGAUGACCUGAAAAAUAAAUCACCAGACACGAAGAACUGUUGCCAAACUAUCCGAAUGUACCAACACCUCCCCCACCCGUCAGUGUGCGAGCUGUAAAUUCCUGAAUAACCGAAUAUAAGUAAGACUUCUCAUAUUCUCUCAGAUAAUUAAGUCAUAGUUUGACUACAGGAUGUUCAACAUAAGAGACUAUGUUCGUUGUUUACCCGCAUCCACCGCAUGAAGAAAAUAAGUGUGUUAAUGGCCACAGGUACGCGGCAGGAAGGUGUUGUGAGGAGGGCGAACUAAAGGGCAGGAGUUGGGGGUCGAGGGGGUUACGAGAGAUACCGACGACCGUAAAACAACAAGCAAGAGAUUCCACUCAGCUGCAGGCUGCAGACGAUGUGAUACCAACGGUUCUGCUGACAUUUGCCACCGCUAGAGCUCAGGAGAGCAUCAUGUCCUUUACACCUACCAGCAUCACAAAAAAAGAAAAGAAAAGAAAAAAAAAAAACCCAGCCCGCCACAGCUGGACAUAAUAAAAUCGGCUAGGCGGACAUUUGCCCGAGAAUAAAAACCAUCACCACGAUAAUAAUAUUAAAUAACGAGGAAUCGAUUCUCUCAUAUUAAUUAAAACUGAAAAAGUCAACAAAUACCUCGCCAGCCUCCAAGAGUACAGGUUAAAAAUAUGAGACUAACGGUCGUACACCGGUGGCUUGCUCCUGUCCCUCCCUGCACAGUCACACGGUGCUAGCCUCCUAUCCCACCAGCAUCAUGUAUCAACUCCCUCCCACCCCGCCACCACACCGUCUGUCGCACGUACACACCGCUCCCCGUGUCCAUGUCCCCCUACCCCUCCAACACACACCCGACUUCCGUGUUCAUCCCGUGAGUCGUUGUGACGAAUUCCAGACCUCUGCGGAUGGCGUCAGACGCGCGAGGAAUAUGCCGCACGUGACAGGAGGGUCUGGCGCAAUCUUUGGCGAAUUCCAGCACCGCUGACAGCCCCGCCCCCGCAGCCUCAACGGUCGGGUAGCAGUUCCUAUCAGUCGUCCGGGCGAUCGCUAUCCAGAACGAAAAAAGAAAGGAGAAAAAAAAAAAAGCAGAGAGAAGGGUUGCGCAAAAGGAAGAGGCAGAUAUCGUAUGCCGCGAACGGGAAUGAGACUUCUGAGUACACAAAAGUCGAGGUCAGAGGGCUAGAACCUUUAUUUAGGUCACGCGCAGGCUAUAAAAAGAACUAACAUGGCUUCAUCGCACUUGACCGGCACAAACCUCUAAGAAGGUGUCGCCUGCGAGGUGGACUGCUGGUUGCUACUGCAGCUCCUCCCUUGCUGCCGGAGAGGUCUGCUUGACACGGCGCGAGCAAGGGCGGCGAGGGUCACAUCCCGUGCAGAGCCCCAAUGCACUCUUGGCGCGGCGCGAACGGCGCGAGCACUAGGUCGCGGCAGUGGGAGUUCGCGAUAGCUCAGCGAGCGCGUCGCGCGAAGUCGGUCAAAGAGGAGUGCCCGCGUGGAAUGCGAUUGUGAAUCGGCGAGUAUCAAGGUCCCGCUGCCUUCUUUGUCCGUGGUGGGGUUAGGAGCGAAGUUAUUUCGGGAGGAAAAGAAUCAUCCGUUUUCAGUUUUAAACUUUCAACCUCUUUUACACAGAGCUCGCUCGCUCGCUCUCUCCCUCACACACACACACCAUCAUUAUCAUGGUAGUAGACAUCGUCAAAACCCAACUCCCACCUGACGAAGAGAAAAAACAAGCUGCACUAAGUCAGCGAGUAUUAAUUAACAUUAUCACAUACAAGUCAGUAAAUACUACCAGCAUCACUAGCGCCAUUGACAAAUUAACACAAAGGGAGUUUCAGGGUCUUUAUGGAAGCAGGUGCUCAAGGAUGAAGGCUACCUCCUGCAGUGACUUAACAAAUCAAUCAUGUGUGACGAGCAGGCUGCAACUAAAAGCACUGACGUGAAUCGAAUCGAUGAUUGUGAGGAGCCCGCUACAACUGAAAGCAUUACGAAUCUUCUAGAAACGAAGUGAGUCCAAUCAAUGCUUUCGAGUGAGUAAUUUCUGGGGAUAGCCCUGUCUUAAAGCUUUAUCACACACCUUUCAGCGACGCGGCAAGCGAAAGCGGAGGCGGAGCGGCGCCCGUGUCGUUCUUACCUCACCGAGUCGGGCGGCGGCGACGACCAGAGAGCACAAAACGACGACAAACGACCGACUUUUAUUUACCCCACAAUGCAUCAUGUCCAACAGUGAAAAACAGUCAGUAGGUCAGACGAAAUGGCCACGAAAUGGGAUAGCUUGGAAGUCUCCAACAACCAGUUCGUCUAACAUUACUCACGUUCUUAUUACGACACGGGUGAGGGAGCAGGGGACGGCGCAUACACACAGUGGCAGACAAAGACAGAUAUUCUAGGAGGUUGCUGACACUGAAACGAGCUUGCCAACCCACAUGUACAGGCAAACCCACCAAAGACCAAAAAGGUCAAGCGUUUUCGGUGCUGUCUGUUCUACCCUUUCAACUCAAAAAGGUCAGAACUCUUGUAACGGUUUCUAAGGGGGUAUAUUUUUUUGUACUAAAUGCGGAGAAGUGAGGACGAGAUGGAGGGAGGUCCAUGUCAUGACAAGUGGGGGAGGAGAAAAGGAGAAAGGAAAAGCUUUUUAAAAAAAACCUUUCAGUUUCAUUUCUCUCAAAGCUACGCAGUUCAGGAGGUUCCAGCUCUUGAUUCAUGCCCACACCCUCUUUCUUCCCCAUCCCCACCCCCGCUACGCACCCCCUUCUCUUUUCACAACAGGGUGCAGGGGGAGCAGCCCUCAGGCUUCAGACGCCGCGCGUGCAAACCUCCACCCACCCAUCCCACUCUGACUGAAUGAAAUUCAGGUUACUACGACGGCCUAGCAACGUAAAGACCGAAGGAAGGUCAUCGAGUGCUUUUCAUAUGCUUCCAGUCCCAGAAUAAAUAAUUUGUGUGGAACCCGGUAAAAAAAAAAUUAAAAAAUUACAUGUCAUUUCUAGAGUAUGACGUGGAUGCAGUACUGCACAACAUCUCCACCCCCAACAACACACACGCAUUAGUAACUCAGGAGACUGCAACAACUCUCCCAGACAUGAUACACUACCAUUUUGUUGCGUGAUUACAUUAGGCAGAGGAAGAAUUCUCCGAGAAGAUUUACACAAAUUCUACACCAUUACAGCGGGAGUGGUGGUUAAUGAAGCCUUGAAAUACGAAAUACUACUAACAGUUUUGCAGUUAACAGCGAUUCCACAGCAACAUUAAAACUUCAAACACUUCAUUAGAUAUUGUUUUUCGUGGAAUGUUAAGAAAAGGGACACUUGAUGUUGCUCGCCUCACGUUCAUACGCAUGCACGCUCGCAUACACAUAGAGAGGCGGGAGAAAAAAAAAGAGAAAGAGACUGACUACAACGUCAAAAAAUAAAAUAAAAAUAAUACAACUCUCCUGUGCGAAGACUGAUUGGACUUCCGCUCCCAGGUAGGUGACCCGUCCUUGAUAGCCCGGCAAUCCCCCGGCUCAUGAAUAAGACUGGAUUUCCCCCGCCCCACCCAAUGGCGAGCCGGGGUGCAGUCACGAGGCUGCGGCGGACGGUGACAGAGCGACUGGGAGGAGCGAAGCCCUCCCCUCGCUUACCUGCCCCACGCUCGGUACACUGCUGUCUCGCCUCCUGUCUCAGUGGGUCUUGAUGUCAAGUUUUUUUUAUAUUUAGUUUGUGUUUGUCUUGGAUGAUGAUGCACACCAUCAAUAAUAAUAAUAAUAAAA